UGCUAUGAUGGUGUAAUUUGCGUCUGACUCUGUGACCAGUGACAGAAUGCCUACCGUCUUAUACUGGCGCAGAUGGCUGGUGAUCAUUGAGUCUGAGCA
rfam:Oryzias latipes DNA, chromosome6, strain: Hd-rR.